ACCGAGAGGAUCAAGUCCGACAAGAAUACAACUCUGUGCUCACAUGCAAACUAGCAGAGCAAUAUGAGGCUUUCCUAAAAUUUAACCAUGACCAGAUUCACAGAAGGUUUGGAGAUACACCAGUAAGCUAUGUUUCUUAAAAUAUGGAUGGGAUUGUACCAAACUAUGUGUUCUACGUGUAAUUAACUGAAACACUGUUGAAUGGAAGAGUUUGCAUUUGUUCGGUUUUCCUGUUUGAAACUUCAAUUCUAAAGGUUCACAAUUUACUAAGAUUGCUUAAUGUGCUUUACCCUGAAUUUUUUCAUUCUGAGAAGAUAAACAACCUGUGAAGAAGAAAAGAAAACUGUCAUGAAAGUUAUAAUUGUGCUGUGUAAACGUGUAUUUGUGAAGUCUGAAAGUGAACAAUAUCUGUGCUUCUGAUAGAAGUGGAAACAAACUCUCAUGGUGCCAAUAUUUAAAAUCCAAACAAUAUUUUCAUGCCUACUGUGCGUUAAAAUUUCCAUGGAAGACAGUGGAAUUGCCAUGUUGGCUAAGCUUACUGUGUUGCACAUUUAUCUUAUUUCUUACUUUUAUAAAUGUGGACAUCCUGAUAAUAUUUAUUAGCAUGAUGAUAAUGUAUUUUACUGUUAUAUUCUAUCUAGAUACAUAUAGUAAAUCUAUUUAGUUCCUUUUACCUCACAUUCACUUUAAUAUUAUGUAAUGGUCAUUAAACGUAAUUUAAUUACUUUUGAUUGAGUAACACAUGUACAUCGUAGAGCAGGACUUGAUCAUGAUUCAGUACACAUGUACCCUGGAUCGUGUUUUACUUUUAAGCUCUAGGUCUUUUGCACCUAGCUAGAUAAGGUAUUGACCAUGUUUGGUUGCUUUUGUUCCUCAAUUUUUAUUUGGUAAUUUGGCUGCCUUCAGAGAAUGGUGGCAUUUCUGGUGUGCAUGUUAAUAUUUUUUAGUUCUGUGAUUUUAACACAGGUAGUGUUUUUGAAGAUUAACAAGUAGAUUAUAAAAUUGUAAAUAAAUAAACUGUUGUGACGAGCUGCUGUAAAUAAAAUUUGUUGAAUAAAGUAAUGAUACAUUGG
rnacentral:misc_RNA from 1 species